UGGGGAAUAUUGCACAAUGGGCGCAAGCCUGAUGCAGCCAUGCCGCGUGUAUGAAGAAGGCCUUCGGGUUGUAAAGUACUUUCAGCGGGGAGGAAGGCGAUAAGGUUAAUAACCUUGUCGAUUGACGUUACCCGCAGAAGAAGCACCGGCUAACUCCGUGCCAGCAGCCGCGGUAAUACGGAGGGUUGACAAGCGUUAAUCGGAAUUACUGGGCGUAAAGCGCACGCAGGCGGUCUGUCAAGUCGGAUGUGAAAUCCCCGGGCUCAACCUGGGAACUGCAUUCGAAACUGGCAGGCUGGAGUCUUGUAGAGGGGGUAGAAUUCCAGGUUGUAGCGGUGAAAUUGCGUAGAGAUCUGGAGGAAUACCGGUGGCGAAGGCGGCCCCCUGGACAAAGACUGACGCUCAGGUGCGAAAGCGUGGGAGCAAACA
rnacentral:rRNA from 1 species